CACACAGGGCAUCUAAUGAGGAUUAGCAUGCCCACAGUCUCUUUGGACUGAUAGGGCGCACAUGAAACCUUUAUUGUUUUUUUUUUUCUUCUACUACAAAAGCUUCUCAUCCUUCUGUUAGUCUUUGUGUGGCUGCCAAAGCUAGGAGGCAGAGACUACUCCCUCCAACCAGUGGCUCUGGAUAAAGAGUCUUAGCCUGCGUUCCGGGUGGGCGUGGUCUUCGUUUCAUGGCUGCUCUCGACUCAGCUCUGCAGGUUGGGUCAGCAGAUGUCUGCAACCAAUGCGAUCGCCGGGGUGAAGGUGACAUGAUUUACUUUAGUCGGGCAAUUUCUCCAUUAAAGCAUGGACGCCUCAGAUUCAUAAGGGCACUGUUGAGCAGAUGAACUGUAACGGAGCCUCACAUUUGUCAUAUCAGGCUCCAGGGAUGGUCGGUGGCUCAAUUUAACUAGUUUCCUUUCCUGAUGGGGACAGAAACCUGCCCAGCACUGUUUCUGACCAGGCUGCCAGAAGCAUGGAGUCUGUCUUGGGAUUCAUUGACACAAGAGAGAAAUGGUCGGAUGGAGAGACUAGGAGAAAGCAAUCCGGAUACAGAACAGGAUCUCGAGCCCUCAGGUGAAGAGCUGGGGAGACCCAGCCAGGAGGAGAAGAAGCCCAAAGGAGUCUGCUCUGAGAUGGGCAGAACGGGAUGUUUGUGGUGCCUAUGUGUGCCUGCUUGUCUGAAUGGAAACCGUAUACAUGCAGUGCCUACAGAAGGCAGAAGGGGGCAUCAGGUCCCUGGGGCUGGAAUUCACAGUUGUGAACUGAUGCGGGUGCUGAGACUUCUGCCCAGGUCGGCUCUAACUAUAACGGUGGCAAAUGUUGUCCACCACUAGACCAUCGUUCCAGCCCCAAGAUGUGUCUGCGUUUAACAAAGAAGCCUUGAGAACUGAGCUGUCUUCAGCCUGAGAGGAGCAGCAGAUGUAGCUGUAGAAGAAGAUUUUGUAAAUCCAUCCACAUACCGAAAUUAUAAAACAUUUCUACUGAA